rnacentral:rRNA from 1 species
ACCUGGCUCAGAUUGAACGCUGGCGGCAUGCCUUACACAUGCAAGUCGAACGGCAGCACGGGGGCAACCCUGGUGGCGAGUGGCGAACGGGUGAGUAAUACAUCGGAACGUGUCCUGUCGUGGGGGAUAACCAGUCGAAAGACUGGCUAAUACCGCAUGAGAUCGAGAGAUGAAAGCAGGGGACCGCAAGGCCUUGCGCGAUUGGAGCGGCCGAUGUCGGAUUAGCUUGUUGGCGGGGUAAAAGCCCACCAAGGCGACGAUCCGUAGCUGGUUUGAGAGAACGACCAGCCACACUGGGACUGAGACACGGCCCAGACUCCUACGGGAGGCAGCAGUGGGGAAUUUUGGACAAUGGGGGCAACCCUGAUCCAGCCAUGCCGCGUGUGUGAAGAAGGCCUUCGGGUUGUAAAGCACUUUCGGACGGAACGAAAUCGCACGGGUGAAUAUCCCGUGUGAUACGGUACGUAAAAGAAGCACCGGCUAACUACAGUC